CAUGGCGUCUUCCGUUACUGCGUCACAUCCGGUGAUGGAAACCGUGGAUGAUCCCCAACCCCAACAAGAAAGUCAGAGUAACUGCCCAGAAUCUGGGCACUUUCUGAAUCUUGGACCAGUAGUUUGCCUGUCUCAAAGAUCCUUCUCUGUUUUCCCCUGUAAAUAACUAGAUACGUGUCAGAGUUGUUUACCUCUGACUUUUGUGUUACCUUCUGGACCUUUCUUAGGACAGAUCACAUCGCUUUCCAAGUCUCAUCUCUCUAGAAUUUUCCAGCUCUGUCAUUUCCUCCCAACCUAUCUUGAGAAGGCUCCUGUAGCCCCUCUCUGACUAAUGUCCUCAUUACUACAUCUCUGUUAUUCUAGCAUUUCUGCCUUAAACUUCCCCCAGAACCUGGCUUUUGACUUUAACCCGUGACUAGGCCAUCUCUGGUCAUCAUUUCUAUAGAAAGAGCUUCUGAUUAAGAGCUGGGAGUGCUGUUCAUCUUUGAUUCCUUGCUGACUCCCGAAGAGCUGUCUUGGAUGUCUCAACGACUUUCUGGAAAACCAUCAGUGUGCCCAUUUGCAUCCAGCACCCCUAAUCCUGGAAAGACCACAACUUGACACAGUGGAAGGCAUAGACUUUGGAAUAUAUCUUGCUUCUAGUUGCUUAGCUUGGGAUUGACUUUUAUCUCAGCCACCUGCAGCCUAAGGCUUGGAAACACUCCGAUUCUUCACCUAAGUGGUUACUUUUCAGACCAAAUUAGCUCCAGCAAUGCAAGUUGACUUUGAAAAAAAAAAAGAAACUAGAGUCUCUGGAAAAAGAAUAUCUUCCAUUUGCAUCAAGUCAAGGUGAACAUUUUGAGAAUGAAGUUCUGAUUACCUUCUCCAAAUGCAGCACACCAGUGAGGGACAGGAUGUUUUGUUAUGUUGGCAUUUAGAAACCAUCCUACAUCAAGAAAGAGUCAUGGAAAAAACAUAGUUACUGAUUCUGAGUGUGAGGGAU